ensembl:lncRNA
UUUGUUUUAUAGUUUCCCUGAGGUGUAUCUUUUACGCACACACACGCUGCAUAGGGCAGAAGCGGCUGAAGACUCUGUCUCCAUCCCUCCACCUUGCGAUCUAUACCACCAUAUAGGUGGGGAUUGAUCGUAUCCCAGGUACGGCAUCCUGCAGCGAGCCAGUAUGGAAGGCUGGUUAGCCAACGACGGGUAAGAUCCCACCUUGACACCCGGGACGACCUAAGGCAGGCACAGUCACGAUUACUUGGCAGAGUCGCUGUGGGCACUGGCUUACUUGAUCAUGAAGUCACAAGCUGCAACAAUCAUAGGAAGUGCCGGGUGGGGUGUAGGGGGGAGGAGGAACAGGAGUCAGAUAUGUCAGCUCUUGCAGCAGAGGUGGUCUUGGAACGGGGCAUGUCGCGUUUUAUUUUAUUUUAUUUUACCUUUGUGGUAUAGAAGCCAGCUAACGCAUGUACGUUUUUCGGUUUAGUGCAUGACUUUAGAACAGCGUGGUUUCAGGCGGCUGAUGGUAAGCCCACCCAUAUUGGGCUUUGGAUUUGGACAUACUGGUUUCGAUUUCCCUUCCCAAAAGAUUGGCUUUAAUUUGCUGAUGGUUAAGGUUAGACGUUUCGACGUUGGUUGCACCGACGGCGUUCUUAGAUUUGCUUAUCAUUUAAUGCGCGUGGUUUUGACCAUUGCGCAAGGGGUGAGGUAUUGAGGAGAAUUAAAAAAAAAAAAAAUAAUAAUAAUAAUAAUUAGAAAACAAGGUUUUUCUUCACCAUACUUGCAAACAAUGAUUGACAUCCAGCUAAAUGAGUGUGAAAUACAGUGUUCAACAGAUGGGUAGAAGCCAUCCCAUCAAAAGACCAAAGUGGGACUACAGUAAUCAAGUUUCUGACUGGAGAAGUCAAGACAAGCAAGAGAAACACAAAGUUCCAGGGCCAGAGGAGGAGCCAGAUGCAGACACGCCCGGAGCCGACCAACUACCCAAGGAUGAUGCAAUCAAAUUUCAGCAGGGUUUGAAUCAGUCCUGUUUUGGUGGUCCACUAUUAACAAAAAUGUUGAUUGGAUAAAUAAUAUAUACUAUAAUCAGCAACGGUUUGUCAAUUUUUCCACGGAUAAGGUCAAGGGAC